rnacentral:lncRNA from 1 species
UCACCUGUGUGUUUUAUGGUGGAUGAACUUCACCACUGCUUCUGAUCCCUGCUUCUGAUCCCUUACAAUUCCAACACUCAGAGACUCACUCCCUGCUUCCAGCUCUCCAUAUCUGUGAAAUAACCGUGGAAGGACACGCACCAUCUCUCUCUUUCUCUCUCUCUCUCUCUCUCUCUCUCUCACACACACACACACACACACACGAACACACGCGCGCGUUGGGCACUGUGACUUGGUGCCUUCUUCGGCUCCAGGCUGACUUACUUGAGGAAGUACCUCUGGCCAGUGGCCGUGAAGGUCAUCUCCCAGCCCGGGGGCAGUGGCAGCUCGUCGGUCACGUCGUAGGACUGCUGGCGGAGGUGCGCGUGCUGCUGCGCGGGGCUACCCGCAGCACCCGCGCCGGUGCCCAGCUGCAGGGACGCGGGCGACGAGUGCGAGCGGACAUGCUGGGCACCCCCAGCCAGUCGAGGCCCCGGGUGGCCGCCCGACGAGUCGGUGCUGGACUGGCGCGAGUGCGAGCCCGAAUCAGGCUCCUUAAAGAAAGACUCCGGCAGGAUCUUCUUCCGCCACGAGCUAGGCUUCGGAUUCAUGACAGAGUUGAAGAGGGCUUCGAGGUCUGUGUCUAGGUCCUGCGUGACGUGGAUCACUUGCUGCCCAGGCGGCGGGAGCGGAGGGGGCGCCGAGGCCGGAUUCAUCUUCUGCAAAAAGAAGGUGCUGAUGUCCAACCUGGUGGCGGAC